rnacentral:tRNA from 1 species
GUUUUAAUAAUUUAAAUAAAAUAUUGAUUUUGUAAAUCAAAAAUAAGUAGAACUUUUAAAACU